ACCGGCGAUGUCCGAAUGGGGAAACCCAGUGCAAUUCGUUGCACUAUCGUUAACUGAAUACAUAGGUUAACGAGGCGAACCGGGGGAACUGAAACAUCUAAGUACCCCGAGGAAAAGAAAUCAACCGAGAUUCCCCCAGUAGCGGCGAGCGAACGGGGAGCAGCCCAGAGUCUGAAUCAGCUUGUGUGUUAGUGGAACGGUCUGGAAAGUCCGACGGUACAGGGUGAUAGUC
rnacentral:rRNA from 1 species